UACGUAGGGGGCAAGCGUUGUCCGGAAUCAUUGGGCGUAAAGAGCGUGUAGGCGGUUCGGUAAGUCGGCUGUGAAAGUCAAAGGCUCAACCUUUGAAUGCCGCUGGAUACUGCUUGACUUGAGUCCGGAAGGGGCGAGUGGAAUUCCUGGUGUAGCGGUGAAAUGCGCAGAUAUCAGGAGGAACACCAAUGGCGAAGGCAGCUCGCUGGAACGGUACUGACGCUGAGGCGCGAAAGCGUGGGGAGCGAACAGG
rnacentral:rRNA from 1 species